CACGUAGGGGGCGAGCGUUGUCCGGAUUUAUUGGGCGUAAAGAGCUCGUAGGUGGCUCGGUAAGUCGGGUGUGAAAACUCGGGGCUCAACCCCGAGACGCCACUCGAUACUGCUGUGGCUUGAGUCCGGUAGGGGAGCGUGGAAUUCCUGGUGUAGCGGUGAAAUGCGCAGAUAUCAGGAGGAACACCGGUGGCGAAGGCGGCGCUCUGGGCCGGUACUGACACUGAGGCGCGAAAGCGUGGGGAGCAAACAGG
rnacentral:rRNA from 1 species